rnacentral:tRNA from 1 species
CCUGAUUUAUCUUCGCUGUCCUAGCAUCUGCCUGCAAUGCAGAAGACCUGGGUUCGAUCCCUGGGUCAGGA